rnacentral:tRNA from 5 species
GCCCCGUUCGUCUAGCGGUCAGGAUACCGGCCUUUCAAUCCGGUUGCCGGGGGUUCGACUCCCCCACGGGGCGCCA